CCUACGGGGGACAGCAGUGGGGAAUAUUGCACAAUGGGGGAAACCCUGAUGCAGCGACGCCGCGUGAGUGAAGAAGUACUUCGUUAUGUAAAGCUCUAUCAGCAGGGAAGAAAAUGACGGUACCUGAGUAAUACGCCCCGGCUAACUACGUUCCAGCAGCCGCGGUCAUACGUAGGGGGCAAGCGUUAUCCGGAUUUACUGGGUGUAAAGGGAGCGUAGACGGCAGUGCAAGUCUGGAGUGAAAGGCGGGGGCUCAACCCCCGGACUGCUCUGGAAACUGUACGGCUGGAGUGCAGGAGAGGUAAGUGGAAUUCCUAGUGUAGCGGUGAAAUGCGUAGAUAUUAGGAGGAACACCAGUGGCGAAGGCGGCUUACUGGACUGUAACUGACGUUGAGGCUCGAAAGCGUGGGGAGCAAACAGGAUUAGAUACCCUUGUAGUC
rnacentral:rRNA from 1 species